GCGGGUGUAGCUCAGCUGGUCAGAGCGCCAGGUUGUGGAUCUGGAGGUCGUGCGCUUACUGCGCAACCUGAA
rnacentral:tRNA from 1 species